CCUAGAAAUACAGCAAAGCUUCAAGAGUAUUUUAUAUAUAUAUAUAUAAAUAUUUUUAAAAUUAUUUAAAUAUAAUAUAUAUGUUAAGAAAUAUAUAUACAUAUAUAUACAUAUGUACACAUAUAGACAUAUAUACAUAUAUAUACACAUAUAUAUACAUAUACAUACAUAUAUAUAUACACACACACAAAUGUGUAUAUAUAUAUACACACACAUAUUUAUAUAUAUAUAUACACACACACACAUAUAUAUACACACACACACAUAUAUAUACACACACAUAUUUAUAUACACACACACACAUAUAUAUACACACACACAUAUUUAUAUAUACACACACACAUAUUUAUAUACACACACACACACACACACAUAUAUAUAUAUACACACACAUGUUUAUAUAUAUAUAUACACACACACACAUAUAUAUAUAUACACACACAUAUUUAUAUACACACACACACACAUAUAUAUAUAUACACACACAUGUUUAUAUAUAUAUACACACACACAUAUAUAUAUAUACACACACAUGUUUAUAUAUAUAUACACACACAUAUAUAUAUACACACACAUAUUUAUAUACACACACACACACACACAUAUAUAUAUAUAUAUAUACACGGACAUAUUUAUAUAUAUACACACACACACACACAUAUAUAUACACACACACAUAUUUAUAUAUACACACACACACACACACACACAUAUAUAUAUAUACACACACACACAUAUUUAUGUAUCUAUACAUAAAAUAUCCCAUUUCCCCACGGCUGCCCCCCGCAGCAGCAGCCGCAGCCCGGGCUGCAGGCGGGCCCCGGCCCGGCCCCUCGUCCCUCACGUUGUCCAGGAGCUGCUCCCGCUCCUGCUGCACCUCGGGGCUCCAGGCGCUCAUGUCCUGCCGGCUCCGCUGCGUCACCGUCAGCACCGUCAGCCUGCGGGGCCCCGGCGCGGGGAACAGCGCCUGCAGCUCUGCAACGGACAAAGGUAUUGCUGCAGCGCUGCAACAUGGCACAGG
rnacentral:lncRNA from 1 species